rnacentral:lncRNA from 1 species
CUCUAGCUAUCGAGUCAUUACAUCUGAUUAUCCUUACCUUCUCUACUUUGAACCUCUUCACAUAGUCACGAAGCGACUCCUUUGGGUUCUUCUUGAUGUUGAACAAGUGGUCGGACUUCUUCUUGAUCGAGCAAUAUGAUGAAUAUUCUUUGGUGAAAACCAAAGAAAGUUCGUCGAAACUCCGGAUGGAUUAUGACGGCAGGGUGUGGAACCAAUCUUAUGUCUCGCCUUGUAGAGUGGUGGUGAAUAUCUUGCAUAUGAGAUCGUUGUUGUUUCAAUAGAGGAUCAUUAGCUUCGGUAGUGCUUUAGGUGUCUCUCCGGGUCGUCAUCUCUUUUAAAUGAUGUGAAAUGUGGCAUGCUGAACUUGCAUGGAGGCUCUGCCUGCUCGAUCUUGUCCGUGA